rnacentral:rRNA from 1 species
GAGAGUUAAAUAGUACGUGAAAUUGUUGAAAGGGAAACGAUUGAAGUCAGUCAUGCUAGUGAAAAAUCAGUUUGACGGGUUUUGAGUUCGGGAGUAGAGGCAGGGUCAAACCGUUUCUCUUUUGAACUUGGGAUUUGUUAGAUGUACUUUUUCUUUGGCAGGUCAGCGUCGAUUUCGGAGGUUGUAAAAUACUUGGGGGAAAGUAACUCUGCUUCGGGAGAGUAUUAUAGACUCUGGGGGAUGCAGCCUGCGGGAUCGAGGAUUGCAGCAAAUGCCUUUGGCUUGUCGCCUGAUCUCUGGAUGUUACCUCGCUUUUGACAACAUUCUUGCCACUUGUGGGUACUAAUGCCCAUUAGGUUAGAGCGAUCAAAAAUUUGCUAAGGAUGCUGACGUAAUGGCUUUAAACGA